AGAGUUUGAUCAUGGCUCAGGAUGAACGCUAGCUACAGGCUUAACACAUGCAAGUCGAGGGGAAACGACAUCGAAAGCUUGCUUUUGAUGGGCGUCGACCGGCGCACGGGUGAGUAACGCGUAUCCAACCUGCCCACCACUUGGGGAUAACCUUGCGAAAGUAAGACUAAUACCCAAUGACGUCUCUAGAAGACAUCUGAAAGAGAUUAAAGAUUUAUCGGUGAUGGAUGGGGAUGCGUCUGAUUAGCUUGUUGGCGGGGUAACGGCCACCAAGGCGACGAUCAGUAGGGGUUCUGAGAGGAAGGUCCCCCACAGUUGGAACUGAGACACGGGUCCAAAACGUCCUACGGGAGGCA
rnacentral:rRNA from 1 species